UUCAUUUAAAUGUAUCAUAAAUUUAUUCAAUGUUUCCUCUUUUUUUGUAAUUUCAUUGCAAUGUUUAAAGUCUAUGUUAUUUAUUCGACAUAUAGUCUCAAAUUCAUACCUUGUAUUAAAAUAUUUUGGACAAUGAUAUAAUAAAUGUUCCAUCGUUUGUAUGGUGUUUGAAUCGCAGGGACAAAAAGGGUCUUGUGUUAUACGAAAUCUGUGAUGUAUAAUCUGGAAAUAUCUGCUUGGUGUAUUUACAAUUAUCUACUUCAUUAUACAGAUUAGUAAUUUCUUUAGUAA